AUAAUUUUGUGUCUUGAUAAAGUAGGAAUAUGGCUGGGACCAUCCCUGACUCUCUUUUUUCCUUGAAUGUGAACACAUGAGUGAAGCAUACAUCCAUUGUCCAUGGGGCAAGAAACAUGAGGAUGAAAAGCCAAUAUGUUAAGGACAUGAAGUGAAAAGCGGGAAGAGCUUCUUAUUCAUGUUAUCACUGAGCAGCGGGAACUGGGGGCUCUGCUCAUUAUAGUUGCCCACGGCCUCCAGUCAAUGAAAUUUCCGGCCAAUGAAAUGCUCUACUGUGACUGAAGCAGCAAAGAGAAGAUGUUCUGCCGGAGGCCUCUCCAGAUUGUGAUGCACUGGGAGCAAGCCACCAUGAACAUAUCCUCAGGUCUCCAGUCUUCUGCCAUCGCAUGAAAAAUGGAGCUUGUCAAACACAGAGCAGAGCUGAACUUUCUGAAUUCCACAGGACAGUUCAGAGUGCUUGGAAUGACACCCACCUGCAAUUUAAACAAAAAAGAAGGAUGAUUUGCUGCUACAUUUGUGUGGGAAGUGCUGCUUGCCGAUAGGGAAGUAGGAGAGGAAAUAAGGAAAACAAUAAACCAAGUACAGUUUUGCAAAUACCCAGACACAUUGGAUGGACACAGAAGCUUUCACUGGGAGAUUAUGAAGGGUAGAUGCUUUGUGUCUCCAUUGCCUCCUGUGAUGUGACCUCACAUUACAAGCCACUGUGGUUGGAACUGCUGGCAAAAUGGAAAGAACCAGGAAGAACAUCAAAGGAGAGUUUUAAAAGGAUAUGAAAUGUAUUAAUUUGUCGUAAUUAUCUACUUUUGAUAGAAGAAUCUCAGAGGUACUUAAGUUGAUGUCUUGGACCUUCAGUCCAGUGCUGACAUCUUGUAAAAUGUCUUAAGUUCCUACCAGGUAAUUUCUGCUUUCUGUCACAAAGCAGGAGAGAAGUUCCAGGAGGAAGUCAUGUAUUUUUCUCAUCUUUAGGUAUAUUAUAUGUAUACCCCAUAUUUCCCUAUAUUAUACUUACACAUAUAUUUAUGUUACACUUUCUAUUUCUCUUAUUUACGUACAUUAUUAACAAAAAAUUUUUGGAAGAUUGUAGAAAUAAGACAUGUAGGCAUUUGAAAUUUUGUGAGAAAGAGCAUGUCAGAUUUGGGAGUUAGGGAUUUUUAGACAUUGCCAUAAGAGGUAAGUAAAUGCUGACACCUUGCCUAUAGUUAAUAAAAAUAUAUUAUACAUUUGAAGUUUUCUAAGAGAGUAGAUUUAAAAUUUUCUCACUAUACACACACACAAUAUAUAUAUAACUAUGUUAGGUGAUUAACGUUAAUUAGCUUGAUUAUGGUAAUCAUUUCACAACAUAGACAUAUAUCAAAACAUCACAUUGUAUGCUUUGAAUACAUACCAUUUUUAUUUGUCAACCAUUCCCCAAUAAAGCUGGAAAAAACAA
ensembl:lncRNA novel transcript